rnacentral:rRNA from 1 species
UACGUAGGGUGCAAGCGUUGUCCGGAAUUAUUGGGCGUAAAGAGCUCGUAGGCGGUUUGUCGCGUCGGCUGUGAAAACUCAGGGCUCAACCCGGAGACGCCAUCUGAUACUGCUGUGGCUUGAGUCUGUAGGGGAUCACGGAAUUCCUGGUGUAGCGGUGAAAUGCGCAGAUAUCAGGAGGAACACCGGUGGCGAAGGCGGUUCUCUGGGCCUGUACUGACGCUGAGGAGCGAAAGCGUGGGGAGCGAACAGG